rnacentral:lncRNA from 1 species
CCCGGUGCCCCUGGUGGCCGGAGCAGGGGUGCACCUGCUGCUCACCUUCAUCCUCUUUUUCUGGGCCCCUGUGCCUCGGGUCCUGCAACACAGCUGGAUCCUCUAUGUGGCAGCUGCCCUUUGGGGUGUGGGCAGUGCCCUGAACAAGACUGGACUCAGCACACUCCUGGGAAUCUUGUACGAAGACAAGGAGAGACAGGACUUCAUCUUCACCAUCUACCACUGGUGGCAGGCUGUGGCCAUCUUCACCGUGUACCUGGGCUCGAGCCUGCACAUGAAGGUGAGACUGGGCAGGGUUGGGGGCCCCAUGCCCAAUGACAGGUACUUCCUUAGCCCCUGCCCUGGCUUCACAGCUUCCUAAAUGCCACCCCUUCCCAAGCCAGUCUCUGGGCCAAGGCCCCAUUCCUGCAGCCCACUGGGUGGCCCCCAACUCAGCACCCCACUUACUGGCCCACCUCCAGCCAGUCUCAGUUUGCCCAUCUCUGAGGGGAUUUGUGGGUGCAUCACAGCCAUCCUGUGGGCUGUUUGGUACCUUGUUCUCCAGAUGUUGGGUCUGUCUCUCUUCAUGGCCUGAAGGGGAGCAGGCUCCUCAUGCUCUGCUCACAAAAAAUGGUGGCUCGGUCUAGCAAGUCCCAGUUGCUAAACAUUUUUUAAAAAUAGAACUAAAGGCCGGGCGCGGUGGCUCACGCCUGUAAUCCCAGCACUUUGGGAGGCCGAGGCGAGUGGAUUGCCUGAGGUAGGGAGUUUGAGACCAGCCUGACCGACAUGGUGAAACCUCGUCUCUACUAAAAAUACAAAAAUUAGCCGGGCGUGGUGGCAGGUGCCUGUAAUCACAGCUACUCAGGAGGCUGAGGCAGGAGAAUCACUUGAACUGGGAGGCGGAGGUUGCAGUUAGCCGAGACGGGGCGUUGGCACUCCAUCCAGCCUAAGCAACAAGAGCGAAACUCCGUCUCAAAAUAAAAAUAAAAAUAGAACUAAAAAUAGCAGGGAGUGGGCUGGCAGUAGUGGCUCACGCCUGUAAUCCCAGCAUUUUGAGACGCUGAGGUGGGGGUUCUGAGAUCUGGAGUUCGAGACCAGCCUGGGUAACAGGCUGUGAAACUCUGUCUCUACUAAAAACACAAAAAUUAGCUGGGCAUGGUGGCACGUCCCUGUGAUCCCAGCUACUCUGGAGGCUGAGGCACAAGAAUGGCUUGAACCUGGGAGAUGGAGGUUGCAGUGAGCCAAGAUCGCGCCACCGCACUUCAGCCUGGAGGACAGAGCGAGACUCUGUCUUCCAAAAAAAAAAAAAAGGAAAAAAAAAAAAGAAAAGCAGUGAGUGGGCUGGGCAUGGUGGCUCACGCCUGUAAUCCCAACACUUUGGGAGGCUGAGGCAGGAGGAUUGCUUGAGGCCAGGAGUUCAAGACCAGCCUGGGCAACAUAGGAGACCCUGUCUCUACAAAAAAUUUAAAAAAUAGCUGGGCGUAGUGGCGUGUGCCUGUAGUUCCAGCUACUUGGGAGACUGAAGUGGGAGGAUGGCUUGAGCCUGGAAGAUUGAGGCUGAAGUGAGCGUGCCACUGCGCUCCAGCAGUGGGUGGGGGAAGGGAGGGAGGGGGCGCGGUGGGGAAACGGAGCGACCGUGUCUGGAAAAAAGAAAAGAGCAGGAAGUAUGCAUACAGAUAUGUGUGUAUGUACUGGGCUAUGGUGUGAAAUCAUUCCUGACUGCGGGUUAUAGUCAAAACCCCAUGAAAAGCAUCACUACAGCCCACGGGUGUGUCAGGGACACAGUGUUGUGAGCCCUGGGAAGGCAGGGCCUGUGGCCAGCACUUUAUCAACACUGGCGCAUGCACCCUAUGAGGCAAAGGGAUUUGCAUUGUCCCCUUACAGUGUGGGACACUGAGGUCGCCAGGGGCGUGGCGACUGUAAGGGACAGUGCUGGAUGUGAGCCUCGCCUGCAGGAGGCGGUCCAGGAAGCAUGGGUGGAGGGGCUGGAGAAGUUGAGGGCCGCGUGGCCCGGGAGGCUCCCGGAGGAGGGAAGGGCCUAUCUCAGCGAGGGGCAUAGGCGGGGAAGGUGCGGGGCGAGGCGGCCGCGGGUCCCUGGCAUCCCUCUCCUUACGCCCAGGCUAAGCUGGCGGUGCUGCUGGUGACGCUGGUGGCGGCCG